UACGUAGGCAGCGAGCGUUGUUCGGGAGUUACUGGGCGUAAAGAGUGCGUAGGCGGUUUUCUAAGUUUGGUGUGAAAUCUCCCGGCUCACUGGGAGGGUGCGCCGAAGACUGGAAGGCUUGAGUAUGGGAGAGGUAAGCGGAAUCCUGGUGUAGCGGUGAAAUGCGUAGAUAUCAGGAGGAACACCUGCGGUGUAGACGGCUUCUGGACCUAACUACGCUGAGGCACGAAAGCGUGGGUAGCAAACAGG
rnacentral:rRNA from 1 species